UGGGCAGUUCAGGAGAAGAGGAGUGUUUGCAUUUUUCUUUCUUUGACCCUUAUUACACCCUUACAAGUGGCCCUAAUUUAAGGACAAAGGCAGCACAUGUUGUACAUGUUGGCUGUGGUGCAUUUCUCUCUGAAAAUCUGUGUAAAAUAGGUCAUUCCAGACAUUGUUCAGAAAAACAGUGUA